UCGCUACAAUUAUUGUAAAUAUUAUAAUUGUUAUUAUUGUUCUUAGUUUCUUGUUAAAUGUUUUCGUUUAGAUUUACGGUUAAAAUAAAUUAAAUAGAUUAAAGUUGAACAAAUUUCUAGAAUUAAAAAAAGAUAAACCAGCCUAAUGAGAAAAACGGAGAUUCACCGCGGUAUAGUUCAUUGUGUUCAUUUUCUGCAUUCCCCUCAAUAAAAUGGUUAAUGAGAUCUAAGCCAGGUGGUGAGAUACCGUGGAAUCAAAUUGCGUAAGCCACCCAAGAUUGCUUGAUCCCGCAAAAUUUGCAUAUGAGCUUCGGCGUGCAUCGACCUGUUGGGAUUCCUUUGAAGUUUUGUUGACCUUUUCCGAAGUCCCUCUCACAUGGACAGAAAGGUGGCUAUCUUAGGCUGUUCGUGUGAAGAGACGCGAACAUGCGCGAAAAUGAUUGUCAUGAGCAUGAGAGCAACCGUCGGUGUCGCGAAUUUACGUUCGUGAUUUCCUGUGACGAAAUUAAUUCGACGGUUAAUCUGAGGAUUAUUGAAGUGAUCAGAUUCACUUCGAACUGAUCCGUGGAAGAGGCAGGAGUGGCCCAAGUUGUUCUCGCGCCGUGGUAGUUACUUAAAGUUCUUAGAUAGUUAUCGUAGCUAGUCGUGUGUGCGAAGUUUAUAUUGGUGUGUUAUCGUGUGUGCUGGUGGUUUUUAAAAGAUUCGCGCCCACGCCGCUACGACGCCCAAGACACCACAACGAACCGUCGAGGCCAUUUCUGACCCCACCAUCAGGCUGCGAGGUUUUCCCGGGGCACGCCGGAAGAGGGACGCGAUCGCCAAUCAACGCGCGCCCUAGGCAGGGCAUCACAGAAGGAAGAAGAAGUAAGGCAACCGUUUUUCCCUCCGUUGGUGACGACCGACGGACAUCGACGCACGUGCCGCGUCGCGCCAAACCAUCGAUGAGACCGUAAGUUUCGAAGCCAUCCGUAGGCAACAACCGCAGUCGCAGCAUCAUCAGCUAGCCCGCUAGCUCCACCGCCGACCCGCCGGCAAACCGCGAUGUAAAGU